CAUUACGAAACAAAAAAUUAACUCUAGUUUAGCUUUUUAUUUCUUCCUAGAUAUUAUCUUUAACUUGCUAUGGUCCCACGUCUCCUAAAGCCAUUGAAGAUGAUGCAUUUGUUUACAGCGACGCUUCAAAUAUUUUCUUAAAAACUAUUUCAGUUUUGGCAAGAUUCAGAAUCCAUAAACACAUUCUGUCAUGCAUUCUCUUACUGUUUACAUAUUUCCUUAAAAGCAGGGAUUUUCCUUCUGUUUUUGAGUUACGUUUAUGCCCUUUCUUAUUUGCUUUAUAGCUUGCUGCCACGAGACAAAAAUCUGUCCAAAGAAAAGAAUAAUUCCUAUCUCCUCCCUCAAAAUUUCUAAUAAGUCUCCUCGUAUAUUCCGGAAUCUCUUUCUUCUUGAAGGACUCAAAUGGGCCUUGAAAAUCCAUGUUGUCACAUGUUUAUCAGAGGAGAGGAAAAGGCCCUCAAGCGUUCAUAUCCUUGCAUCAGGGUUGUUAGGGGGCAGCGCCGUGGGAACCAGGCUUGCAGGCUUCCCCUGGGAGAAAGAUACCACAAGGCAAGGUCUCGGAAAAGGGGAGAAGAAUGAGUUCGUCACCGAAGCUGGAACGUGGCUUAAAGUGAGGAAUGGCGGCUCACUGCGUUGUGUAGUUGUGAGUGUGUAAUAAUAAAAGGAGCCCUACAGCAUCCGUCCCUAAGGCACUUUUUAAUUUAUUUUUUUUGUCCUGGAUGCACAAUCACCCACAGCAAGAGGCGUGCCAUUCUCACACGCGGGCCGACCUGCGCUCCUGGACGCGGUCGGGCGCGUCUCGAGGACCCGCCUGUGGCUGUGACGAUGGAGGCACCGCCACGUGCAGCCGGCCUCUGCCUCUCGACGGGGAGGGGGCGGGUGGGGGCCGGCGGGGGCGGCGCAGGGUCUCCCCUGCGAGGCCAGGCGGAGGUUCGCGGCUCCAGGUGCCCGCUCUGCUCCUCCCAGAAGCUGGACUCACGGGAAACGCAGGCCCGGCCGCCCCGCGAGCCCUCUAUUUACAGCCAGGGCUUGUGAAGGAGGCGGCGCUGAGAAGGCAGCCUUGGGAGGUCCAAGGCGUCUGAAGAUUUCAUCAGGACGUGCCCCCUGCGGCUCCUCCCCGGGGUUUGGGGUCACGAGGAUGUUGCCGCCUGGGACCCCUCCUGGUUACUGCCGUGAACCCGCCGGGCGCGGGGCCUCCUGCCACCUCGACGUCCGGGCUCCAGGCUCCCGGAUCUGGGCCCUUCUCGACAAAGCCGCAAGAGACCCGUGGCCCCUACUUAGAGAGCAGAGCUACCAAACGCCUGGUCACUCAGGCCAGUGACCUCCCACGGGCAUCCUGGGGUCCCCCCUCUUCUCCAGCCUACCUUGAAGACGCUAAAUUUGAAACAGGCUGCGAGUCUUUCCGCCCCCAUCCUGCUCUCCAGUGGGCAGCUCCGUCGUUGCUGGGGUCACUGUCCCCCUAUCCUCUGCCUACCCAGAAAUCUACUCUCAACAUCCACCCAGAGCCAGAGAGAGCUCCGGGAAAUCAAAUGAGCUCCUCUCACCUGGAGAAUGUCAACCAUGUGAGAGAAGAAACUGUCUGUUCGCUGUGGAUCCCUGCUCUGAGAACGGGGUCAGCCACAGGAUCAACACUGGGACAGUGGCCGAGGAAAACAGAAAAACGCCGCUGGGCACUCAACCCCCCUCUCGGUUUCCCCAUCUGUAAAAUGGGGCUGAUAACAGUACUGGCCUCCUCAGUUGUUGUGAGGGUGAAGUGAGAUAAUAAAGGUAAAGUGGCACGUGGUGAGUAUCAGUGAGCUUCAGCGCCAUGCUAUCACCAGGCCCAGCACGACCCUGUCAUCUCACGUCCCCUCCAUCACUUGGUUGAAGGCAAAGGCCUCCUCCUCCUGUUUCUGGAAAACUCUCUGCCUUUGUGAUCUUCCCGAUCUCCACGAGGGUGGGUCUCCUUGUCCUCUGAGCUCAGCUCCGAUGGCCCAUUCGCAGAAGCGCCCUCCCGAGAGCUCGGCUGCCCCUGAGGCCGCUGCCCGUCUGCUUGUUAGCGUCUGUCCACAGCCAGAGGGCAGGAGCUCCUUCUCUUUUGUCCUCUAGAGCGUCCCAGGACUUGAACCAGCCGACACAUACUAGGUGCUCAAUUAAUACUGUGAACCUAUUCUCAAGGGCAGACCAAGCCUUCUCUUUACGUGUGUGUCCCCAGCAAAUCGCAUCCAACACCUUCCUUGCUCCAUGUCUCUUCCAGGGGCGGAGGCAAGAGCAGAUGAGGUCCCUGCCCCACGGAGCUCCCACGUUGGCAGGAGAGAGACAGGAAUGUGAAAUCGAGCGGGGCCGCACGUGGCCGGUGGUGAAGGUUGCCAAGAGGGAAGCACAGCAGGAUAGGGAGGCGGGGACAGGAGUGGUGCGGGCUCAACAGGCUGUUCAGGGAGGGACUCACUGAGACAGUGACAUGGGGCAAGGGGCCUGAAGAAAUGAGCAGGGGGCACGAGUGUUCUGCAGGGAGCGUUCAAGGCAGAGGGCACAGCCGGUACAAGGCCCGUGUGUGCGAGGAGCAGUGGGGGCCAGAGUGGCUGCAGGGAGGUGGACGAGGGAACUGUGGGGGCCGAGGUCAGAGAGGUGACAGGACGGGAUCCGUGUACGACCUUGAGGGCCAGUGAAAGGACGCUGGCAUUCCCUGUGCGUGUCAGAGCCCUUGGAUGGGUCUGAGCACAGGAGUGACGUGCUCUGAGUUCAUUUUAGGUGACCCCUCAGGCUGUGUGCGGGGCCAGACUGUGGGGCAGAGGGCAGAAGCAGCCGGACCUGCGAGGAGGCCGCCAGGGCGGGGGCAGGAAGGUGCAGGCCGGGGUCACCAGUGCCAGCUCUGGGAUUUGCACCUGAGGGUCGGCUGACGGGAUCUGCUGAUGGAUGGGGCGGAGGCGGUAAGAGGGAAACAGACCGUCAAGGAGGACGCCAAGGGCUUUGGGCUGAGCGGCUGGAAGGACUGCCGUGCUCCUGAGUCAGGUGUGGGAGGUCUCAGGAGGAGCAGGCGGGAGCAGGGAGCGGCUGAGAGGCAGAGAGACCUUCCAGAAAGGUCUGGGGUCCUGAGCCAACUUGGCCCCCCCUCAAGAGCUUCCUUCAUCUGAGCUGCAAGGACGACCACCUGUGUUGUCCCCGAGCGGGUGACGCCAGCCAGGCUCUGCACUUGUGUCUCCCUCCGAGAGACAAAGGUCAAUGUCACAGCAGUCUGCUCUGAUGCUGGCUUCAAGCCAAGGCCCUUAAUAUUCAAUGAGAAAUCUGCAUUGAUGAAAUUUUCAUUAAAGAAACAUUAUCCGUUUCCCUUGCCUUGUUAUUCUGUGGCUGUGGGUAUCAGGCUAAUUUGGGUUUGAUUACCCCGAUGAUCUGAAGAUUGGAGCAUUAUUAAAAAUUUAGAUGAGCAAUGAUAGGUCUGCGCCUCCCUCUCCUCUCUCAGCCGGAGCACAGGGGCUCUGCUAACGAUCACAACGAAUUCGGGGCAGACAUGGCAAUUAGAGGAGUAUCGAUAGUUCGAGGGGGCUUCAACCCCUCUGCCUCCAACGGAAAUCGGCUGGGUGGCUUCCAGGGCACUCAGAUUUAAUUGAUAAAAUGCAGCAAAAGAGAAUUCCAGUCCUAGACCCAGUUGCAGUCUAAUGAGCUGUAUGCGUGCCUGAGCGGGUCCCCUCCCCUUCCUGUGCCUGAAACGUGCCCCACGUGUGGAGGAAGGAGCCUGCACCAGGCAGAUGCCUAGAAACGGUGCCCGUGGGCUGCGGUCAGCUGCAGAGGGAAUCUGUUGGCCAGCUGUUUUUUUAUCUGUUUAAUGAGCACCUUCCUAGACUUAUGAUCUCGGGCUCUGUGUUUCCUGUCUAUUAAUUGUCUGAUUCUCCCAACCACCAUGAGAGACAGAUGCUCUCAUCAUUCCCACCUCACGGAUGGGGAAACUCUGACCAAGAGGGCUGACGUGGUUUACUCUGGGUCACCUGCCAGGCAGGAGCAAGGGUACGAGUUGAACUCAGUGGUUUGUCCUCCAAACCCUGCUUUAACACCUGUGCUACAAUUCCUCAGUGUUUCAGAAGUAAUUAGGUAUCAAAUUUAAAACAUUUGUAGUUUUCUAUAGAAACAGAACUUACAUAUUAAGAAGUUGGCAGCUCUGGUUCUGUAAAGGUGUCUGUCUCUGGAAUGUCACUAUUUUGUACUUCAUGAGACACUAAUUACUAACAUCAUUUACCAUU